UGGGGAAUUGUUCACAAUGGGCGCAAGCCUGAUGACGCAACGCCGCGUGGGGGAUGAAGGUCUUCGGAUCGUAAACCCCUGUCGAAUGGGACGAAAGACUCGCGAGUGAAUACUUCGCGAGAGUGACGGUACCGUUAAAGGAAGCCACGGCUAACUCUGUGCCAGCAGCCGCGGUAAUACAGAGGUGGCAAGCGUUGUUCGGAAUUACUGGGCGUAAAGGGCGCGUAGGCGGCCCUCUAAGUCAGACGUGAAAUCCCCCGGCUUAACCUGGGAACUGCGUCUGAUACUGGAGGGCUUGAGUAUGGGAGAGGGAUGUAGAAUUCCAGGUGUAGCGGUGAAAUGCGUAGAUAUCUGGAGGAAUACCGGUGGCGAAGGCGGCAUCCUGGACCAUUACUGACGCUGAGGCGCGAAAGCUAGGGGAGCAAACGGGAUUAGAUACCCUCGUAGUCCCUGA
rnacentral:rRNA from 1 species